CUUAGCUUCCAGUUCCCAGCCAAAGGAGGAGAGGGGAGAGGGAGAGGGAGGGAAGGGAGUCUGGCUUCUAAGGUGAAAAGAUGGUAGGAGUGCCUCCCAGGGCAUCCCGUGUGGACUCACCUGCGCUGGAACCCAGGACCAACAUCUCUAAGCCCCUGGGUGUCACCAUCAGCUCAUCGGCUCCGUUGAGUGCUAUCCAUGAGACAGAGAGUUGCCUUUGGGAACAUGCAUGGGCCUGAUCUGGAGUCAGGGGACAGAACCCCGGUGAAAUGUACUGAUCGUGACUCUAGAUGGACUCGCUGGUGUUGCAGGGUUUCUGUGACGCCUAAGCAGUCACUAGGACUGUGUGUUCCUGGCUAAUAGUGCCUCCUGGUGGCCUGGGCUAGACUCCUGGGAAGAGCUGAGAACAACAACAACACAAAAGAAACUGCUGGGAAAGUAAGGGGCACAGACCCACCGGGAAACCAGUAAACAGAGAACAGUCGGUGGCCGUUUCUGCCCCUCUCCGAGGCAAUGAGGAGACCCAGGCGAGGCUCAUAAAGGACAGUUGGCGUUGAUGACAGAACCUCAGGACUUCUAAAGGCUGAUAUGGGUGAAGAGACAUCUUGAGCUGCCAUCUCUUCCAUUAUAUAUUUUGAAUGUCUGCUUCUCUUACACUUGGAGAUUCUUCAAAAGAUUAUAAGAACCUCUUUGACCUGG
rnacentral:lncRNA from 1 species